rnacentral:tRNA from 1 species
GCUGGAGUAGCCAAGUGGUCGACGGCAGCACUUUCGUAAAGUGCCGGAGUAAUCCCUCGCAGGUUCAAAUCCUGUCUCCAGCU